rnacentral:rRNA from 1 species
AGGGAAUCUUGCGCAAUGGGGGAAACCCUGACGCAGCGACGCCGCGUGAGUGAUGAAGGACUUCGGUUCGUAAAGCUCUGUCGCAUGGGAAUAAUUUUGAAGGUACCAUGUAAGAAAGGAUCGGCUAACUUCGUGCCAGCAGCCGCGGUAAGACGAGGGAUCCAAGCGUUGUUCGGAAUCAUUGGGCGUAAAGCGGACGUAGGCGGCUUUUCAAGUCGGAUGUGAAAUCCCUGGGCUUAACCCAGGAAGUGCAUUCGAUACUGUUAAGCUUGAGUGUGGGAGAGGCUAGUAGAAUUCCUGGUGUAGUGGUGAAAUACGUAGAUAUCAGGAGGAACACCGGUGGCGAAGGCGGCUAGCUGGCCCAACACUGACGCUGAGGUCCGAAAGCGUGGGGAUCAAAC